AAGCAUCCCUGCACGAGGUUGCUGUCGCUGCAGGUUACAGGCUGAUGGCUGGAGAAAAGCAGGGAGAGGAAAUAUGUAUCACACACAAUAUGCUGAACAGAAACAUAGACCUAAGGCAAAUCUUGGAGGAACAACUGAGCAGGGUAUUGAAAAUGGAAAUGGACUGCCUUCAAUCCCGACUUAUGGCAACCCUAUGAAUAGGGUGUUCAUGGAUAUGCCAUUCUUAAUGUUGACCAGUCCUAGAUGUACCAGCACAAAAAGUAGGAUAAACCAACAGACAACCAUCACAGCAGCUAUAUACCUUCACAUUAAGGAAAUGUAUUUAUUCACCACCUACUGAGAGAUACUUUGGGCUGAAGGAUACGACUCAGUUAUGUAGCUCCCUCUCAUAACAACAUUUUUGAACCUUGUGAAUGCUCUCUAACACUCUCUUUCUACAAUGACAAUUUUUUUGGGGAGGUGAUUGGAAUAUGAUUUACAUCAUGGAUAGAGAGACCUUGUGGCCUCCAAAAGUUAUUGAAUUCGAACUGCCAUCAUCCUUGAAAACUAGCCAUGCUGGCUGCUGGGGUUCAGCUGGAGUCCAACAACACCUGGAGAGCCACAAGUUCCCCAUCCCUGCUUUCCAUCUCUCCUAGCCCAUGUUCCAUGGAAAUGGAUGGGUAGGUCUGACCUAUUUUCACACUGAAAACCUAGAAUUGCA